AUAGAGUUUGAUCCUGGCUCAGGACGAACGCUGGCGGCGUGCCUAAUACAUGCAAGUCGUACGCUUCUUUUUCCACCGGAGCUUGCUCCACCGGAAAAAGANGAGUGGCGAACGGGUGAGUAACACGUGGGUAACCUGCCCAUCAGAAGGGGAUAACACUUGGAAACAGGUGCUAUUACCGUAUAACAAUCGAAACCGCAUGGUUUUGAUUUGAAAGGCGCUUUCGGGUGUCGCUGAUGGAUGGACCCGCGGUGCAUUAGCUAGUUGGUGAGGUAACGGCUCACCAAGGCCACGAUGCAUAGCCGACCUGAGAGGGUGAUCGGCCACAUUGGGACUGAGACACGGCCCAAACUCCUACGGGAGGCAGCAGUAGGGAAUCUUCGGCAAUGGACGAAAGUCUGACCGAGCAACGCCGCGUGAGUGAAGAAGGUUUUCGGAUCGUAAAACUNCUGUUGUUAGAGAAGAANCAAGGAUGAGAGUAANCUGUUCAUGCCCUUGAGCGGUAUCAACCAGAAAGCCC
rnacentral:rRNA from 1 species